rnacentral:rRNA from 1 species
CCUACGGGUGGCAGCAGUGAGGAAUAUUGGUCAAUGGCCGGGAGGCUGAACCAGCCAAGUCGCGUGAGGGAUGACGGCUCUAUGGGUUGUAAACCUCUUUUGUCAGGGAGUAAAAGGCGGGACGAGACCUGCUUUGAGAGUACCUUAUGAAUAAGCAUCGGCUAACUCCGUGCCAGCAGCCGCGGUAAUACGGAGGGUCCGAGCGUUAUCCGGAUUUAUUGGGUUUAAAGGGUGCGUAGGCGGAAGGAUAAGUCAGCGGUGAAAGCCCGGGGCUCAACCCCAGAACUGCCGUUGAAACUGUGUAGCUUGAGUGUGCGUGGGGUAGGCGGAAUGCGUGGGGUAGCGGUGAAAUGCUUAGAUAUCACGCAGAACCCCGAUGGCGAAGGCAGCCUACC